GUGUACGUACAAGCAGUGGGAGCCUCUUUUAUGGGGUGACUGCGUACCUUUUGUAUAAUGGGUCAGCGACUUAUAUUCUGUAGCAAGGUUAACCGUAUAGGGGAGCCGGAGGGAAACCGAGUCUUAACCGGGCGUUAAGUUGCAGGGUAUAGACCCGAAACCCGGUGAUCUAGCCAUGGGCAGGUUGAAGGUUGGGUAACACUAACUGGAGGACCGAACCGACUAAUGUUGAAAAA
rnacentral:rRNA from 1 species